GUCCAAUAGAUGUUGAGUUACCGAGCUUUGGGUUUUGUAAACACGUGUUAAUUUCGUGCAAUGUCGCUAUUUGAGUUUUUUUUCCAUCAUUGUCGACAUUCCUUCAAUGAUCAUAUGUCACAUGUGGUAGUUCGUUUUGAGUACUUGUAAUGAUGAUAGUUAAAAUGAACAAGCAGACUGGUGAUCGUGAGUUUUGCGAGUGAAAAUAAGAGAUCGGAACGAGGCGUUGGAAAAAAUUUGUGUUGAUUUGGCUUUAAAUAAAUAAGAAAUAAUUACCAUCGAGAUGUCUGAGAAACGACAAAACACACUCAGUGUAAAAAAAUAUUCUCUAAUUUCAGUAUUCAAUUACAUUUUUUCAUAAAUUCGUCUACAAACAAAUACAAUUUCCAAAUCGCA